rnacentral:rRNA from 1 species
CUGGGUCCACCUCCCACCCGUGUCUAUCGUACCUUGUUGCUUCGGCGGGCCCGCCGUUUCGACGGCCGCCGGGGAGGCCUUGCGCCCCCGGGCCCGCGCCCGCCGAAGACCCCAACAUGAACGCUGUUCUGAAAGUAUGCAGUCUGAGUUGAUUAUCGUAAUCAGUUAAAACUUUCAACAACGGAUCUCUUGGUUCCGGCAUCGAUGAAGAACGCAGCGAAAUGCGAUAAGUAAUGUGAAUUGCAGAAUUCAGUGAAUCAUCGAGUCUUUGAACGCACAUUGCGCCCCCUGGUAUUCCGGGGGGCAUGCCUGUCCGAGCGUCAUUGCUGCCCUCAAGCACGGCUUGUGUGUUGGGCCCCCGUCCCCCUCUCCCGGGGGACGGGCCCGAAAGGCAGCGGCGGCACCGCGUCCGGUCCUCGAGCGUAUGGGGCUUUGUCACCUGCUCUGUAGGCCCGGCCGGCGCCAGCCGACACGCAACUUUAUUUUUCUAAGGAUGACCUCCGAUCAGGUAGGGAUACCCGCUGAACUUAAGCAUAUCAUAAGCGGAG